rnacentral:rRNA from 1 species
GUCCUAGCCCUAAACGGUGCACGUUUGCUGUGAGAGGAAUCGACCCCUUUCGUGGCGAAGCUAACGCGUUAAACGUGCCGCCUGGGAAGUACGGUCGCAAGAUUAAAACUCAAAGAAAUUGACGGGGCCUGCACAAGCGGUGGAGUAUGUGGCUUAAUUCGAUGCAACGCGAAGAACCUUACCUGGCCUUGACAUGUAUCUAGUAGAAGGGUGAAAGCCUGACGAGGUAGCAAUACCAGGAUACACAGGUGCUGCAUGGCUGUCGU